UACGUAGGUGGCAAGCGUUGUCCGGAAUCACUGGGCGUAAAGGGCGCGUAGGUGGCGCGAGUAGUCAACGGUGAAAGCCCGGGGCUCAACCCCGGGUCGGCCGUCGAUACUCUCGUGCUUGAGCACUGUAGAGGCAGGUGGAAUUCCGGGUGUAGCGGUGGAAUGCGUAGAUAUCGUUUGGAACGCCAAUGGUGAAAACAGGUCGCUGGGGAUGUGCUGACGCUGAGACACGAAAGCCAGGGGAGCAAACGGG
rnacentral:rRNA from 1 species